rnacentral:misc_RNA from 1 species
GAAAAGUUCAGCCUACUUUGCAAUGACAAAAGGAUGUAAUAAUUCUGUAUGUAACAAUUCUAAAAUGUAUAUCAUCAUAUUCAAUCCAAAUGCGAAAUACUAAACCAAACGGCUUACAUACGAGCAUUUUAGGUAGGAUAUGUGACACUAGUUGUUGCAAGAAGGAAAUGUAGACGCGGAUGUACUUCUGGUUCGAGCUUUUUACAGAUAUACUCUAAUUCCAGACAUCUUCUCAAUAUGUUGGACGCUGCACAUCAGAAUGCUAACUUCAUCCAUUCUCACACAUAGCCCAGAGCCGCUCUGUCAUCUAGCGGCCCAGAGACGAGGGAUAGGUCACCCCUCCUGCGCCGGAUGAAUCAUCUGCAGGUGUAGUUCUUGUUGCCAUUGCUGCUGACCCUCCAAAAGAAGGCUGCCACAUUUGUAGACCCUGAUAAGGCCCUAAUCCCUGCAAUGCUGGGUCUGAACCAAAAUUAGCUAUGACAAUCGGACUAAUGCCACUUAUACCAUAACCAGCACCAAUCCCGCCAAACAACGGAUUAAAUCCUGGUGCAAGCAAUGGGUUGAUUCCAAAUCCCAUGUUUUGCCCUAUCAAAAGGGGCAGAGCAUUCAUACUCGCGCCACUCAAUAUCCCGGGAGUCACGCCAAAACCAUAACUCAUUUCAUUCUGCUGCACACCUUGAUUUGCAUUACUACUACCAGCAUUGUUCAAAUUCUCCACAAAUUUCUUGCAAAACAAUUGACAACCAUCAAACAAUUUCUGUGGUUCCUCCAACGCCUUAUUAGCCCCUUCAACAGACUUAUACACAAAUAUAGCAAACCCCUUAAACUUCCCACUGACACUAUCAAUCCCUGAUGGCCCUUCCUCAAUUUCACCAAAUUUCGCGAAAAAAGCUCGUAACUUUUCACCAUCCACAUCCUGCCCAACAUUCCCAACAUAAAUUUUCCGGCCACCGGAAUCUUGACCAGUCCCAGCAGGUCGCAAAGCAGCCAGCUGACAAGAAGUAGUACGAUUCCCAAUUUUCUUCUGGGGCUCCUUUAAAGCCCUUGUUGCCCCGACCCGUGUUUCGAAUACCACAAACCCGUACCCUUUAGCUCUUCCUGUAACCUUAUCAGUAAUCAGCUUACACUCCUCGAUUUUUCCAUAGGGUUUAAAGGCGUCGAGCAAUUGCUCUGAAGUUGCAUCGUACCCGAGUCCAUGAACGAAGAUUUUCCGGUGGGUCGGGUCGGAAUCGGCAAAAGAUGUGAGCCGAGAAAGAAUAGAUGGAUCCUUUGAAGCUGCGGUUUUGAAUUGCUGGAUUAUUUGAUCUUUACUGAAUGGUUCAAGAAGUUUUCGAAUAGUACAUCGCUUAGUCUCCUCAUCUUCGCCGUCGGAACCGAAAUCUAGAUCGGAUUCGGAUUCUUCGGGAUCUUCUUCAUACUCUACUUCUUCCAAUUCUUCUUCUUCUUCUUCAGAUGAAGAUUGAGGUUGAAUUUCAGGUUUUGGUUCUUCAGGUUGGGGCCUUGAGGUUGAAGAUGAUGAUUUUCUCUUAGUCCCCAUUGAAGCAAACUGUAAGCUCA